UGGUAAAAGCUGUUAUGUCUUUUAAGUAUAUGAAUUGCACCUUGUAUAUUGUGUAUUACAUACGUAUCUCUCACUGUCACAUAUUAUGUGAAGAAGUGAGAACUUUUAUGAAGAAAUUAUACAUUGUAGCCUACAAGUUUCAAUUUUUUUACAUGUUGGCAGGGCAAAAAAAUUAUUAUACAAAGUCACCCUUAAGUUCCUGAUAGUCUACAUAGUGGCCUUUAAUACUGCACUUCACCCUUAAACAACCUAACCACCACCCUAACACCCAAAAACGCCCCUUUCUCUCUCAUCUUUCCACCACUCAUCUUUCCACCGCUCAUCUUUCCACCGCUCAUCUUUCUCUCUUCUCAACUUUCUGAAUCAAAUACAAGCGCGAAUGAUACAAGCUCAACUUGACACGAAUUUGUUAUUUGAUUCUCAUGACGGUGUCGGAGAUUCCGCUGGUGCCGAACUCGAUGAGACACUCGUUAGGUUCAGUGCGGCAGUUGAGAAAGAGCUCCAAAAUGUUGAGAUCUUGAAGAAUGGCGAAAUUGUAAGGAUCGCAAGAGAAGUUGCCUAAAAUUGCGACGGUUUUUUCCUUGGUUUAGGAUAUUGUGGGAUUUUGGAACUAGGUAACUAAUUGUUAGAGGUGCUCGUGUGAUGCGUGGUGGUUUCUUGGGGUGUUUCGAGGGCAGUGGGAAUGGUUUAGUGGGUGCUGUGGUGGUGGUUCGUGGUGGUUUCAAUGGGAGAGGGGGUGGUUUGUGGGUGUUGUGGUGGUCGGGUUUUGAGUGGCAGAGGAGGUGAUUUGUGGGGUUCGGCGGGUGUUCGAAUGGUGGUAGCAUUGGUUGAUGUAGGGAUGCUAAGGAUGUUGGGCGGUGGUGGUGCUGCUGUGGUGGCUUAGCGUGGUUUAGAGAGAGAAAGGGGAUGGGGAGAAGAGAGAAAAGGGAGGAGAUAGGAGAGAGAAAUGGCUAGAGUUUAAUUGUUGAGCCACCUAUUAAUGAAAUAAGGCCACUAUGUAGAAUUUUCCAAACUUAGGAGUCACUUUGUAAUUUUGUAUAAUAUUUUUUUUCCUUGCCACCAUAUAGAAAAGUUGAAACUUGAAGGUCACCAUUUAAAAUUUCCCAGUUUUCUAUUGUGAUUUGGUGCAAGUGACUAAAAUCUUGGACAAGAAUUAAGGUGUGAGAUAGCAGAUGGAAAGACCACUGGCUAUAAUGUUUAGAUUCAGUGUCACCCUUGGGUAUUGACUAUUAGUCGAGAAUUUGAAAUGGACAAGUAGAGGAUGACUUGGAAUAGGAAAGUUUAUUCUCUUUACUGGAAGAUAUUGGGACAUGAUUGCUAGUAUUGAGCGUUAUAGUAUGGAAACGCAAUCAAGAAAUACUCUCCUUUCUUUGAUGCAGAUUGUAAGGGACAUGAUUAAGUGCUGCCAUGGGGUUAGAACCCAUAUAGCUUAGAGUGUGAACUAGGGUCAGAACUAUUAGAACAGCGCGACAUGGAGCUCUACUUGUCAGAAGGGAAAAAUUGGUUUGGAUUCACCAACAAUUUUCAAAAGGAGUAGCUUAUAAACCAUGUUUAGAUCAACGCAAUCAAAGGGACUAGCAAAUAGGGAUAGACAUAAGGUGCGAUUUGACCUUAAAAAACCCGAAGAAGAUGAUUAAUUGGUUCUAACCAGAUAUGGAUUUGAGGGUGAAGGUAGUAUGAUGACGGAAUGCUAUAAGAGCCUGUAUGACAGCCUCUACUAAUUUACCUCUAUAUGUGCAAUGUUUGGACGAUUAAAGCUUGCCCACAUUUACCAAAUUUUAGCAUCUGAAAUUUGAUUAGUGCAGCCAAAAAAACUCUCAAUUUUUGCCAAAUUCCCAUAAUUAGUAUGGUUAAAAGGCACUAACAUGAGAUCUAAAUUUUUCCAUAGUUUAGAUGCUAAUUAGUGGUUAAAAUUUUCGAUUCAAUCCGUUUUAACAAUAGUAAUGUGGAAAAGCCAUGUCAUUUACAGGUGAUAUCAUCUGCAUGUUAUAAUAAAGAAAUUGAAGAGAAAGAAUGACAUUAGAAAGGAGUUUUUGUUUUGAAGCCCUCGGAACAUCCGUCAUCAUUGUUAGAAGACUUUUGAUCACUGUAUAGUACUAUUGAAGAGGAAGAGGAAUUUUUUUUGAUCUUAUUCUUGAAUGUGGUUUGUGUUUGAUGUUUGUUAAGCGCUUGAUUUGGAGAGAAGAAGAGAGAAGAAUGAUCUUUAAAGUCUAUUAUGCAUAAUAUUGAAUGAUCUGAUACGGACGUGCAAGGGAGUAUAUAUAGGGUAAUAAGCCAAGCUCCUGGCGUUAUCUUGGAGAAUAAGGAAUAAUAGGUGGCACUGACUAUCCUUUAGCGCGGUCUGCACUUUGCACUCUGCACUCUGCACUCUGCACUCUGCACAGGACAGUGACCUGACAAACUUUUUCUUUUAGCUUUGUUUAGGCGCCAGUUAUGUAGCAUUUAGCGAUAUACAUCAUGUUGGUUCAACAAUUGGCCUUAAGAUUCAGACAGGGAAAUCUAUUUCCUCAUGUCUGAGAUAAGAUUGUUUUGAUUCCCGAGCCUUUUCUUUCUUGUUCGUGGAUUGUCUAUCCUCAUUUUCCCAUCCCUCAUCAUUCAGGUGUGUGCAUCAUAUUCAUGCCACAAGGUAGUCCAAAACUCCAAACUGAGGGAAAUGCUGUGAACCUACUAAAAAACCAGAAACUCCCUUCCAUGAUUCUUCAAAUUAAGAGGUCCAUAGAGAAGCAGUGUGCAGUGCUGAUUUGGCAGGAAAAUCUGAUGGAGUUGGUUAUUGUUCUGGCUUCGAGUGUUCGAGGCUUAGAGGGUUAAGUGGGGGAGGGGGUUUAGCUGCUUUGUUCUGUAUCUGAAGUGCUAGGUCUGGUAUGCUUUGUAAAACUAAGCUCUAUUCCAGAAUGGUUUGAUUGGAAUUGUAGGGUUGGCUUGGUAUCAUACUAUCAUUUGGAUUUUCGGUUUUGAGCGUUUACUUCCAUUCUUUUAUAAAUGAAUAUUUAGAUAUCAGAUUGCACUUUAUGUCUUA